rnacentral:lncRNA from 1 species
CUUUUAGAUAUUAUAUUGAGAAGCAUCUGUGUUAGCAACUGGAAGAAACUUUUGAAAAUAUUCUGUAUUUUUCUUAACCAUGUGUUUAACAAUAGUCACAUGGGAACCACCACCCCAUAAGGUCUGGUAAGAAAUCAGUGUUAUGACCUGCUGUCUCUCUUAUGAUUUCUGUUUUUAUUAUGACUGACAGUUUGUUAUUACUUUAUUGCAGUUCCUGCAUUAUGUUUCUGUUUUUCUAAAUACUCCAUCAAAUCUACAUGAAUGGCAUUGGGUUCCCAUGGCAUUGUCUGGACUGCUUUUAGGUUGCCCACUGUUUUGAUGAUGUUUGUGGCUUCAUGGAAGCGUUUUGAUUUUAAGCAGACAAUCCAUGUUUGAACACCUGUUGGAAAAGAGGCACUUUGCCACAUUCACAAAAUGCUAAGAAAUUGCCAAUAAGCGGAUUACAUGUUUAUAAACACAAUAAAGAAGGUUAAGUAACAUCUUACAUUUUAAUUAUGAGACAGUCUCAGAAUUCAAAUGUAACAUGAAUUGUUUUCUCAGUUCUGUUUUAACUGAUAUGGUCCCUUCUCUACUUGCUUUUGAGCAUGUAAAAAUACAGCAACCAGACUGACUUUAUCUUCUUUACGUGCAGAGCUUCAAGUUCAGGCCUGAAAGCAUGUAAAUCCUGUUUAAACUUAUGUAUGCUCUGACCUUAUCCUUUCUGAGUUGUCUACCUCUUUUCCAUCAGUAAUCUCAAGAAACUUUUACUUCCCCCUCACUACAUUUGAAGAUGAAGUAACAUGGCAAAGUUCACAAGGAAGAUACGGAAAAUGAAAAAUGAAUUCCUUUAUUGCAAGAAAUCAUGGUUAUUUAUUGAUUCAGAAAGAAAACGGACUGAUAUUCUCUUGGGUGUUCUGAACAACAUGACACACUAGAGGCGCAAUGGAAUACAGGCCUAUCACCCUGUUGAAUUGCCCUGUUUGGGAUGAAGGUGAUAAUGUCUCUAAGUGGCUUCAAUAAUCUACCUCUCCUCACUUACCCUGGGAAAACCAUUUGAGAUUAUUUUGCUCUGGAAAAGAGCAGAAAGAGAUUGAGCUUGAAACAGCUCUAAAGGGUUGGAGUUUAGUUACAUAAAUCCUACAGAGACAAAAUACCUGCUGAUCUCUUUAGCUUUACUGAAUCUGCAAAACGAAGACAGCAACUCAAGUACAUCUUGACUUUAGGACUUUGUUUACAUUUGAAACAAUUGUUGAAGAUGGGACUGUGAGAGAAAGAUGGUGAUGAGAAAAUUUAAGGUAAGGGUUUUAUUUGGUCUAAUUGCUUAUUUUGAGAUGAUUUUUGGUAGUAUAAUAGCAUGUGGCAUAUAGUAAUAGAGUAAUUCGUAAAAAAAAAAUCUUAUCUCCA